UACAGAGGUCCCAAGCGUUGUUCGGAUUCACUGGGCGUAAAGGGUGCGUAGGUGGUCGGGUAAGUUGGGUGUGAAAGCUCGGAGCUUAACUCCGAAACGGCAUUCAAAACUACCUGGCUAGAGGGUCGGAAGGGAGACUGGAAUUCUCGGUGUAGCGGUGAAAUGCGUAGAUAUCGAGAGGAACACCAGUGGCGAAAGCGAGUCUCUGGACGACACCUGACACUGAGGCACGAAAGCUAGGGGAGCAAACAGG
rnacentral:rRNA from 1 species